GACAGAGGUCUCAAGCGUUAGGCGGAAUCACUGGGCUUAAAGCGUGUGUAGGCGGAUCGUUAAGUGCUUUGUGAAAUCCCACAGCUCAACUGUGGAACUGCUUGGCAUACUGGCGGUCUUGAGCCAUCUAGGGGUCGCUGGAACAAACGGUGGAGCGGUGAAAUGCGUAGAUAUCGUUUGGAACGCCAAUGGUGAAAACAGGCGACUGGGGACGUGCUGACGCUGAGACACGAAAGCCAGGGGAGCAAACGGG
rnacentral:rRNA from 1 species